AGCAUUGACUUAUGAUUAAUUGCAAACAACUAAUUUAAUGUUUUAUUAUGAUAGGAAAUAUAAAGUAGUAACUACUGAGUCCCAUAACAGCAUGUAACUGUUUGAUUCAAAAAGACUGUGAUAGCACAAAGUUAAAUAAUGGCAGAGUGCUUUAUGAAUUAUGAUUUGACUUGACUCAAAUAAGUACUGACAUAUUACCUUGGAGAUUAACUAUAUUUUAUGUGUUUUUAUUGCAGAAAGUGAACAUGAGCCUGGUGAUACCUUCAUCCUCUCGACAGAGUCUGUUGUGGCAUUGGCCUGGUGGAUGAGGAUACUCCAGAUGCUGACGUCAUUCCUGGAGAACAUGGGAGACGGUAGAGAUGUUCUACGGGACAGUAGGAUAAAGACAGAGAAACACUGUCAACUGUGAGAGAGAAUUACAUUAAUGAGGACAGCUUCUAACAGUGCCAAUACUAUGUGCCAAAACAUCCAUCUAUGUGUAAAUACAAUACGUUUUUAUCUUUAUUAAUGGAAAGUCAUGAGAUUUUUAAUGUUUGUGUCACGUGCAGGCAAACAUCGACACCUCAGGCAAUCCGACCUGGCUUUCUCCACACUUGAUUUAGUGAUUUACUUUCAUAAUAUGACACCAAAUCCACUACCUGCAAGCGUCAACCACACACUAAAACAGGUAUUUUGUCUUCGGGCUGCUGAGAGUUUUAACUGUUUAAAAGCUGCAAAACAGAUAACAUAGCUUGACCCACCAUUUGGAAACAAAGUCAUCUGACACCUGUAAGCUAAUGAGCUGUCAGCUGCUCCGGUCAAGCCUCAUGCAAUAUCCAUGAAUGGAUGUACAACUGCAUGUGUGUUGGUUUCAAAGACUGGUUAUAAGAUGCACUCCUUAAAUUGUUCUUUUUUGCAAGUUCGGUUCAGCAACACUUCUCACAUAAUUAAGUUUGCAUACCAUUUAGAUUAAUUAAAUUCUGAUCUCUGUGUUAACUUUGCCACACACAGCCAAUUUCCAACUCCCUCUAAAUCUUAAACUUAGUCACAACAGAGACGUAAUUUAGUCAAGCAGCCCCGUUUAUCUUCCAGUCUUGCUGACAGCUGUAGUGUUGACAGAUUUACAACGUUUACUGGCUGGAGGAAGAUGGUGUCCUCAACACAAAUAAAAACCUAAAUUAGCUAAAUAAACAGAGAGGGAGAGAGUCUGGGUUUGCUCCAUACUAUACUACAUGCUAGCCUCUGCUCAAAAACGCAUUUAAGCAUGGAGGAUUUCUUUAAUUAGACUGAAAAACUGAAACAUGAUAAUGGGGUUUUCUAUUUUCUGAAGUAAACUGGAUCUACAGCUGGACUUGUACAUGACUGAAGAUUUAUGAGACCUGUAGUUUUUACAACUGCUGAAUAAAACCAUCCUUUCUUUGA